rnacentral:lncRNA from 1 species
GUGAAGUCCAAGACAGAAACAAAACCCAAGGUCCAGAUAUUUCCUCACGGAGGGAGGUGGCGUCUGAACAAGACGCCUCCAAUGGUCCAACGCACGCGCCGGUGCUUUCCAAGCGGGCGAUGCUCCAGGAGACCAACGAGGCGCGACGGUCGGCAACGGCAGAAGCAGCGCCAUCGCCACCGCAGGAAACGGCGACCCCCGGGCAGGGAGUCGCCCCCGGAACUAGACAGCCGAGGUGGCCGACGACGCAGGAGGCAGCGCCAUCCCUGCCACCGGAUGCGCCAAUGGCGAGGCCACCCAUCAGGCAGACGAGAUCCAAGCCGGCGGGCUGCCGGCACCAAGGAGCAGAACAGACGUGGAGACGUGGUCAGCGCCGGACCACCAGGAACCGAUGCGGAUGCGGUGAGCGCCGGACCACCAGGAACCGAUGCGGAUGCGGUCAGCGCCGGACCACCAGGAACCGAUGCAGAUGCGGUCAGCGCCGAGCCGCCAGGAACCGCAGCGGGAGCUGCGACAGGAACGACCCCCUCCUGGAGGUCGACAGGAACUGCAGCUGGAGCUGCGACAGGAACGACCCCCUCCUGGAGGUCGACAGGAACUGCAGCUGGAGCUGCGACAGGAACGACCCCCUCCUGGAGGUCGACAGGAACUGCAGCGGAAGCUGCGACAGGAACGACCUCCUCCUGGAGGUCAGUAGGAACUGCAGCGGGAGUUGCAACAGGCGCGGCCUCCUCCUGGAGGUCAGCAGGAGCUGCGGCAGGCACGACCUCUUCCUGGAGGCCGGCAGAAACUGCGGCAGGCGCGACCCCGUCCUGGAGGUCGGCAGAAACUGGGGCAGGCGCGACCUCCUCCUGGAGGUCGGCAGAAACCGCAGCCGGCGCCGCCUCCUCCUGGAGAUCGGCGGGAGCUGCGGCAGGAACUGCAGCCGGCGCCGUCUCCUCCUGGAGGUCGGCGGGAGCUGCGGCAGGAACGGCAGCCGGCGCCGCCUCCUCCUGGAGGUCGGCGGGGACUGCCCCUCCGAGGAUGACAGGGACACGAUCGGCACCCUUGCGGGAACCGGCAGGAACGGGGACUAGAACGACCUCUACUGGGCCGACAGGAACUGGAACUGAAACAGCCUCUACAUGGCCGACAGGAACAGGAACGACCGCUACGGGGCCGACAGGGACGGAGACUGGAAUGGCCUCUACAUGGCCGACAAGAACAGGAACGACCGCUACAGGGCCGACAGGAAGGGAACUGGAACGGCCUCUACAUGGCCGACAGGAACAGGGACGACCUCAACAUGGCCGACAGGAACAGGAACGGCCUCAACAUGGCCGACAGGAACGGCCUCAACAUGGCCGACAGGAACAGGAACGACCCCUAACGGGCCGACAGGAACAGGAACGACCCCUAACGGGCCGACAGGAACUGGGACGGCGUCCUCUCUGGAGCCGGCAUGACUGCUUGCAGCUGCCAAGCUCGACGGAGUAGACGUCGGGCCUGAUUGGGUGUGACUAGAACUUGUCAAACGGAUGGUGCCCUCUGGCUGGGACAAGGCCUGAACGUGACUCGACUGGACUGGAACCUGGACUAGACUCGACUGGACUGGGACCUGGGCUGGACUCGACUGCACUGGGACCUGGGCUGGACUCGACUGCACUGGGACCUGGGCUGGACUCGACUGCACUGGGACCUGGGCUGGACUCGACUGCACUGGGACCUGGGCUGGACUCGACUGGUCUGGGGCUAG